rnacentral:lncRNA from 1 species
GACCCUUCUUUAAUGCAUUUUAUGCAUUAUAAACACCUUCGGACAUUCCGAAGCCUACACACUCGACGAAUAGUCGAUUCUAGUCGAAGUCUAAUCCUCGAGUUUCGAGAUUUCACUUCCUUACACACACCCCGCCCCGAAACCACUACCAAUUUGACACAAUUCGGGCGCGCCGAGCGGACCGCCGAACGGACAGCACCUCCCCUGUCCGCCCAAGGCUCACAACAAGAAUGUGUACAAGAAAUUCCCAGGUAUUUAAAUUCUAAACAUACACAUUCAACGAGGCACAAUUAGUGCCAGCAACUACAAGAGCAGGUAAUUUACAGGAAUAACAUGUGAAAUAAAGAGAGUACUUUACUAACUAUUACAAUAGUUCGCAUCUUUUCAUUUACAUCAUUUUCUUUAAAUGAUUACAUCAUUCAUCCAAAAUACAUAGCUCUCCAAAUCCUCACUUACAAUGAAUCUCUCAAAUACAUAUGUGUGCUAAUGCAAAAAGGAAAGCUACUAUACUACCA